UGGGGAAUAUUGGGCAAUGGGCGCAAGCCUGACCCAGCAACGCCGCGUGAGGGAAGAAGGUCUUCGGAUUGUAAACCUUUUUGACAGGGGACGAAGCAUGACGGUACCCUGAAAACAAGCCACGGCUAACUACGUGCCAGCAGCCGCGGUAAUACGUAGGUGGCAAGCGUUAUCCGGAUUUACUGGGUGUAAAGGGUGAGUAGGCGGGGAAGCAAGUCAGAUGUGAAAUACAAAGGCUUAACCUUUGAACUGCAUUUGAAACUGUUUUUCUUGAGAGUCGGAGAGGUAAUCGGAAUUCCCAGUGUAGCGGUGAAAUGCGUAGAGAUUGGGAGGAACACCAGUGGCGAAGGCGGAUUACUGGACGACAACUGACGCUGAUACACGAAAGCGUGGGGAGCAAACAGG
rnacentral:rRNA from 1 species